rnacentral:misc_RNA from 1 species
AAAGUCGUAACAAGGUUUCCGUAGGUGAACCUGCGGAAGGAUCAUUACCGUGGGGCUUCGGCCCUGUCGUGAUAGAACCCUUGCCUUUUGAGUACCGUCCGUUUCCUCGGCAGGUCCGCCUGCCAAUGGGGACCCCCAAUAAACCCUUUUUGCAAUGCCUGUACAACCUUCUGAAAAACCCAAUCGUUAAAACUUUCAACAAUGGAUCUCUUGGUUCUG